rnacentral:rRNA from 1 species
GACGAACGCUGGCGGCAGGCCUAACACAUGCAAGUCGAACGCCCUAGCAAUAGGGAGUGGCAGACGGGUGAGUAACACGUGGGAACCUUCCCUAUAGUACGGAAUAGCUCAGGGAAACUUGGAGUAAUACCGUAUACGCCCGAGAGGGGAAAGAUUUAUCGCUAUAGGAUGGGCCCGCGUCGGAUUAGCUAGUUGGUGAGGUAAUGGCUCACCAAGGCGACGAUCCGUAGCUGGUUUGAGAGAACGACCAGCCACACUGGGACUGAGACACGGCCCAGACUCCUACGGGAGGCAGCAGUGGGGAAUAUUGGACAAUGGGCGCAAGCCUGAUCCAGCCAUGCCGCGUGAGUGAUGAAGGCCUUAGGGUUGUAAAGCUCUUUUAGUCAGGGAAGAUAAUGACUGUACCUGCAGAAUAAGACUCCGGCUAACUUCGUGCCAGCAGCCGCGGUAAU